AGCAGCCGCGGUAAUUCCAGCUCCAAUAGCGUAUAUUAAAGUUGUUGCAGUUAAAAAGCUCGUAGUUGAAUUUCGGGGUCAGUAGGUUGGUCAUGCCACUGGUAUGUACUGGUCUCACUGAUUCCUCCUUCCUGAUGAACUGUAAUGCCAUUAAUUUGGUGUUGCAGGGAAUCUGGACUGUUACUUUGAAAAAAUUAGAGUGUUUAAAGCAGGCUAACGCCUGAAUACAUUAGCAUGGAAUAAUGAAAUAGGACGUUCGAUCCUAUUUUGUUGGUUUCUAGGAUUGACGUAAUGAUUAAUAGGGAUAGUUGGGGGCAUUAGUAUUCAAUUGUCAGAGGUGAAAUUCUUGGAUUUAUUGAAGACUAACUACUGCGAAAGCAUUUGCCAAGGAUGUUUUCAUUAAUCAAGAACGAAAGUUAGGGGAUCGAAGACGAUCAGAUACCGUCGUAGUCUUAACCAUAAACUAUGCCGACUAGGGAUCGGAUGAUGUAAUUUUUAAUGACUCAUUC
rnacentral:rRNA from 1 species